CAAAAACUUAAUUACUCGAAAAAGAUCCGGUGACCUAUCGAAGCUGUUCUCCACGCCCACGGUAUCAGAUUAUUAUGUUGCCUCUUUCGGCAAAACUUCCGUGUCCGCUUCUUGUUCCAUAAUUAAAAAUCUAAAAAAAAAAAAACUAAAAACCUACAAGAGGUUGGAGAAAUACUGUGGAAUACAAUUUUAUAUUCACCACAGCAGUUCUUCUUGAGAAGCUAAAAAGAAAAGGUAGAGAUUAUAAGAUUGCAUGCAAACACUUUGUCUAGAAAAUAACACAAUCUAUUAUUCAUCAGAAUAAUUCCCGGCUGCUUCUCGGCUAGCUUACUUUCAUUCCCUUCAGUUCAACUUCUGCUGAUGAACUUGGGCGACUCUUGGGCUUUGCUUGAUUGCUGUCAUGGAAUGAUUGCCCAUGAAAUGCGCUCCCAAUUUGUGCAGGAUGUCAUUUUGUGUUGAAGGAGGUGUUGAUUGAACAUGUUGUCCGUGUGUCCAUGGUUUUUUGGUUCUUCGUGGAGAACACUUGUUGUUCCCGCAGUUCCAGCAUCAUAUUCUUUUUCUACCCAUGUGCAACUGUUCCACUUCUAUUCCUCAUGGGUUGUUUCGUUACAUCAGUUUGAAACACUUAUUCACUAGCAUUGCAACCAUAAUUUGCAUUUAAAAUGUUUAAGGCUCAGCCUUUUUGAAUUGAAAUCGUAAUGAUAGCAUUCUCCAUAUGGUUGCAUAUUUUAACCUAGUUUUUCGGUUCAUUAUUUUCUUUGCCUAUUCAUCUUCUUGAAUUAAUUUGGUACUCUUUGACUUACAUUUCUUAUAUUAUUCAUGUUACAACCCGCAGCAUCGCACGGGAAUUCACCUAGUGUGUUCAGUAACUCUCCAUACCCACAACUUUAAAGAGACUCUCCUCGCUGGCAAAUUAGGACAAACUUAUUCUCCUACUCGCCAGACUUAUCGUCCUUCCCAUGGUUAUUCUUCAAACACACAUUGCUCUUAGUUAGUUUUCAAUAAUAAUAGAAGUAUAGACAUGUAUGGCUGCAAAGAUAAAAAUAAUAGCUUAAAAAACAAGAGUAAAUCUAUAUCCUUAUAAAAACAGAACAUAAAGACAUGUCUCAACUGUCCUGUUCCAAAAUAACAAUCAAAUACGACCUUUAUCAUCACAGAAAUUGUCGAAAAAGAGCGUGGAAGAUAAUGGUCACGUUAGAGGAAUCAGAUCACUCACGACAAACUACACUCCAGAGCAAUCGCUUGGCACGCUUUUUUUUUUAUAUUAAGUACGAAUCCCAACUUUCUCGAGCUUUUGACGUCAUGACUACGUAGAACGAAACACCAAGCAACAAAAAUGAUAACCUGGAAUCUCAUUGCAUAACAUGGAAAAACUAAUGGGAAUAGGUCCUAUGAGGUUUCAGUCAGCUUUGCUCGCAUGACCCGAGUCAGCAAUCCAUGAAACAUUCGAAGUAAACAGCCAGAAAAUAACAGUAGACGGCAUUUGCAACACAGCAAUAUAACAUCCGAAGAAACAAAUUUAAAAAGUACAAUAAA